AUUGAACGCUGGCGGCAUGCCUUACACAUGCAAGUCGAACGGUAACAGGUCUUCGGAUGCUGACGAGUGGCGAACGGGUGAGUAAUACAUCGGAACGUGCCCGAGAGUGGGGGAUAACGAGGCGAAAGCUUUGCUAAUACCGCAUACGAUCUCAGGAUGAAAGCAGGGGACCGCAAGGCCUUGCGCUCACGGAGCGGCCGAUGGCAGAUUAGGUAGGUGGUGGGAUAAAAGCUUACAAAGCAGACGAUCUGUAGCUGGUCUGAGAGGACGACCAGCCACACUGGGACUGAGACACGGCCCAGACUCCUACGGGAGGCAGCAGUGGGGAAUUUUGGACAAUGGGCGCAAGCCUGAUCCAGCCAUGCCGCGUGCAGGAUGAAGGCCUUCGGGUUGUAAACUGCUUUUGUACGGAACGAAAAGACUCUGGUUAAUACCUGGGGUCCAUGACGGUACCGUAAGAAUAAGCACCGGCUAACUACGUGCCAGCCGCCGCUGUAACAC
rnacentral:rRNA from 1 species